rnacentral:rRNA from 1 species
UACGUAGGGGGCAAGCGUUGUCCGGAUUUAUUGGGCGUAAAGAGCGUGUAGGCGGCCAUGCAGGUCAGCUGUGAAAACUCGAGGCUCAACCUCGAGACGUCGGUUGAAACCGCAUGGCUAGAGUCCGGAAGAGGAGAGUGGAAUUCCCGGUGUAGCGGUGAAAUGCGCCAGAUAUCGGGAAGAACACCCGUGGCGAAGGCGGCUCUCUGGGACGGUACUGACGCUGAGACGCGAAAGCGUGGGGAGCGAACGAGG